AAGAGAAAAGGCUCCUCAUUAAAAAAGCAGCACUUGAAAUUGAAUUACUGGAGCAUCGCCUUAAGGAAAUAAAGAAAUAAACUGCCUGGCAGACCAGUGCAAAAAAAUUAAUAAAAGUAUUUUUGACAGA